rnacentral:rRNA from 1 species
UGGGGAAUUUUGGACAAUGGGCGCAAGCCUGAUCCAGCCAUGCCGCGUGCGGGAAGAAGGCCUUCGGGUUGUAAACCGCUUUUGUCAGGGAAGAAAUCUUCUGAGUUAAUACCUCGGGAGGAUGACGGUACCUGAAGAAUAAGCACCGGCUAACUACGUGCCAGCAGCCGCGGUAAUACGUAGGGUGCAAGCGUUAAUCGGAAUUACUGGGCGUAAAGCGUGCGCAGGCGGUUUUGUAAGACAGAGGUGAAAUCCCCGGGCUCAACCUGGGAACUGCCUUUGUGACUGCAAGGCUUGAGUGCGGCAGAGGGGGAUGGAAUUCCGCGUGUAGCAGUGAAAUGCGUAGAUAUGCGGAGGAACACCGAUGGCGAAGGCAAUCCCCUGGGCCUGCACUGACGCUCAUGCACAAAAGCGUGGGGAGCAAACAGGAUUAGAUAGCCCUGGUAGUCCACGCCCUAAAACGAUGUCAACUGGUUGUUGGGAAGGUUCCUUCUCAGUAACGUAGCUAACGCGUGAAGUUGACCGCCUGGGGAGUACGGCCGCAAGGUUGAAACUCAAAGGAAUUGACGGGGUCAUAGCUGUUUCCUG